UCGAACGCGAAAGGCUCCUUCGGGGGCCGAAGUAGAGUGGCGCACGGGUGAGUAACACGUAGGUAAUUUGCCUUUGGGUGGGGAAUAACUCAGGGAAACUUGAGCUAAUACCGCAUAAUGCAGCGGCUCGACAUCGAGACAGUUGUUAAAGCGGGGGAUUCGCAAGAACCUCGCGCCUGAAGAGAAGCCUGCGGCAGAUUAGCUAGUUGGUAGGGUAAUGGCCUACCAAGGCGACGAUCUGUAACCGGCCUGAGAGGGCGGUCGGUCACACUGACACUGACAUACGGGUCAGACUCCUACGGGAGGCAGCAGUCGGGAAUUUUGGGCAAUGGGCGAAAGCCUGACCCAGCAACGCCGCGUGAAGGAUGAAAUUUUUCGGAAUGUAAACUUCGCAAGAAUGGGAAGAAUAAGUAAGGGAUAAUACCCCUUACGAUGACGGUACUAUUUGUAAGCUCCGGCUAACUCCGUGCCAGCAGCCGCGGUAAUACGGGGGGAGCAAGCGUUGUUCGGAUUUACUGGGCGUAAAGGGCGCGUAGGCGGCGUGACAAGUCACUUGUGAAAUCUCCGGGCUUAACUCGGAACGGUCAAGUGAUACUGUCGUGCUAGAGUACAGAAGGGGCAACUGGAAUUCUCGGUGUAGCGGUGAAAUGCGUAGAUAUCGAGAGGAACACUGCGGCGAAGGCNGGGUUGCUGGGCUGAUACUGACGCUGAGGCGCGAAAGCCAGGGGAGCGAACGGGAU
rnacentral:rRNA from 1 species